CCUACGGUGGACAGCAGUGGGGAAUAUUGCACAAUGGGGGAAACCCUGAUGCAGCAACGCCGCGUGAGUGAGGAAGGAUUUCGGUAUGUAAAGCUCUAUCAGCAGGGAAGAGAAAAGAAGGGACCGGAAAAAGAAGCCCAGGCUAACUACGUGCCAGCAGCCGCGGUAAUACGCAGGGGGCAAGCGUUAGCCGGAUUUACUGGGUGUAAAGGGAGCGGAGAAGGCAAGGCAAGGCAGAAGUGAAAGCCCCCGGCUCAACCCUGGGACUGCUUUUGAAACUGUCAAACUAGAGUACGGGAGAGGUAAGCGGAUUUCCUAGUGUAGCGGUUAAAUGCGUAGAUAUUAGGAGGAACACCAGUGGCGCAGGCGUCUUACUGGACCGAACCUGACGUUGCGGCUCG
rnacentral:rRNA from 1 species